CCAGCUCCUGGAGGGGUGAAGGGCCCCCAGCUCGCUGCGGCAGCGCCAUUCCUUCCUCUGAGCCAUGGCAGCACUGAACUUGGAUGCGAGGAGGCUUAGCGACCUGUCCCCAGGUGAGUGCCCGAGCUCUGCUGGGAGGACUGGGCAGGUGGAGCCAGGGCUCCCUGCUGGCAGGAGGGUCAGACCAGAGAGGCUGCUGCUACUGCUGCAGCUUUCAACCUCUUUGGCGCUGCUGUUAUGGGUUCCAGGGCUGGUCAGUCAUGCAAGACAUCUGCCUCAUCCUGGUGAAAAGUUUCCCUUUUAAUAUUAUUUUUUGAACUCAUUUACUCUGGCUGCUCAAAAAACGAAGAAAGACAUUCAGCCUUCUGCGUAAGAAAACAGUGGCAAGUUCAGUGGAAAGUGACAGUGCUCUUAGUACCGGGAUUUCAGAGAUCAAAAACUCACUCUAAGGACUCGAAAAACAAAGGAAGCUCUGCGACAGAGAAUGUUCUUCUUCAUUCAUCAUUUGAAAGCCUGCCUCAAAUAGUGCUAAGAACAAAUUAUUUUCGAUAUGAGUUAGCCCCGGGGGUUUGAUAAAAGGGGCUUUUCCUACCCAGCUAGCUAACGAGACGUGCUCUGCAGAAGACCUGAGUGAGUGGGAUGGCAGUUCUAGGAUCCCCCAGACCCCGGGGAGCUUUUCUUAUCCAGGGAGCCAAAAGACAAAGAUGGUUCCCCAGCCUGGAUGAAUAUGGGAUCUGCACAAACAGUGCUCAUUCAUCAGCUCUGUAAGCCUGGAAAUCUUCUGAGGAAAGGUGGAAAACAAAUUAAUGUCCAAUCUCCAAACUCCUGUAGGUUGUCCACUGCUGAACUGUUCCAAGGAAAAGCAGCUUCCUAGCUGGGAGAGAUGUGUCUGGCUUCCACUGCAGAUCAGCCUUGAACACUCAAAGACAAAUCUGCCUGCUCUGAAUAUUGCCUGAGGAUUUAGACAGGUCUUUCUUGGAAACAGAAGAAUGAGAUGAAACAAUCAUCUGUAAAGCAUGAUAUAAUGAAGAAAGAUUAUCAUUGCUCUGUGUGGCUGCAGCAGCUCUGGUCAGCAAAUAAUAACGACAUUGUCUCACUGGUCAGACCUGCCUCCCAGAGAACAACAACAUGUUAAGUGAUGUCUUGGUGGUAUUUUGGGCCCUCAUUUAUGUGAUGGCAAUAGAAAUCUAGAAGGAAAGGGCCUUUCUUGUUUGUGACAUAACGAAUUUCAUGCCAUUCUCUGCAAAUUCUGUUAGUCGUGACCAAAAUCAGCUUAUUUGUGCACAGAUGACUCUGAGAAGAAGCAGUGAAAGACCUUUAAAGCAAAGACCUUGGUUUUGCAUGAUACACCUACAUAAAAUGUUGG